rnacentral:rRNA from 1 species
UACGUAGGGGGCAAGCGUUGUCCGGAUUUAUUGGGCGUAAAGAGCGUGCAGGCGGCCAGGUAGGUCUGCUGUGAAAACUCGAGGCUUAACCUCGAGAUGUCGGCGGAAACCAUCUGGCUAGAGUCCGGAAGAGGAGAAUGGAAUUCCCGGUGUAGCGGUGAAAUGCGCAGAUAUCGGGAAGAACACCCGUGGCGAAGGCGGUUCUCUGGGACGGUGACUGACGCUGAGACGCGAAAGCGUGGGGAGCGAACAGG